AACGUAGGUGGCGAGCGUUAUCCGGAUUUACUGGGCGUAAAGCGUGUGCAGGCGGGGUGGCAAGGGGUGUAUGAAAUUUCCCGGCUUAACCGGGAAGGGUUAUGCCAGACUGUCAUUCUAGAGUGCGAGAGAGGGGCGUGGAAUUCCGGGUGUAGUGGUGAAAUGCGUAGAUAUCAGGAGGAACACCAGCGGUGUAGACGGCUUUCUGGACCAUUGCUGACGCUGAGACACGAAAGCGUGGGUAGCAAACAGG
rnacentral:rRNA from 1 species